AAUUUUUAAUAACGGAUCUCUUAGUUUUAACAUUAAUAAAGAACGUAGUGAAAUACAAUAAGUAAUAUAAAUUAUAAAAUUUAGUAAAUUAUUGAAUCUUUAAACGUAUAUUACGUUUAUUAAUAUUCUAAUAAAUAUAUUUAUUCGAGCGUUA
rfam:Neurospora crassa OR74A unplaced genomic scaffold supercont12.9, whole genome shotgun sequence.